rnacentral:rRNA from 1 species
UGGGGAAUUUUGGACAAUGGGCGAAAGCCUGAUCCAGCCAUGCCGCGUGCAGGAUGAAGGCCUUCGGGUUGUAAACUGCUUUUGUACGGAACGAAACGGCCUUUUCUAAUAAAGAGGGCUAAUGACGGUACCGUAAGAAUAAGCACCGGCUAACUACGUGCCAGCAGCCGCGGUAAUACGUAGGGUGCAAGCGUUAAUCGGAAUUACUGGGCGUAAAGCGUGCGCAGGCGGUUAUGUAAGACAGUUGUGAAAUCCCCGGGCUCAACCUGGGAACUGCAUCUGUGACUGCAUAGCUAGAGUACGGUAGAGGGGGAUGGAAUUCCGCGUGUAGCAGUGAAAUGCGUAGAUAUGCGGAGGAACACCGAUGGCGAAGGCAAUCCCCUGGACCUGUACUGACGCUCAUGCACGAAAGCGUGGGGAGCAAACAG